rnacentral:rRNA from 1 species
UACAGAGGGUGCAAGCGUUAAUCGGAAUUACUGGGCGUAAAGCGUGCGUAGUCGGCUUUUUAAGUCGGGUGUGAAAUCCCCGGGCUCAACCUGGGAAUUGCAUUCGAUACUGGAUCGCUAGAGUUCGGCAGAGGGAAGCGGAAUUUCGGGUGUAGCGGUGAAAUGCGUAGAUAUCUGGAGGAACACCGGUGGCGAAGGCGGCAUCCUGGACCGGCAUUGACGCUGAGGCGCGAAAGCCAGGGGAGCAAACGGG